CGCGUAGGCGGCUUGUUAAGUCAGAUGUGAAACCUGGGGGCUCAACCCGCAGCGUGCAUCUGAAACUGGCAGGCUUGAGUCUGGUAGAGGAAAGUGGAAUUCCCAGUGUAGCGGUGAAAUGCGCAGAUAUUGGGAGGAACACCAGUGGCGAAGGCGGCUUUCUGGGCCACGACUGACGCUGAGGCGCGAAAGCUAGGGGAGCAAACAGGAUUAGAUACCCUGGUAGUCCUAGCCGUAAACGAUGGGCACUAGGUGUGGGGGGUCAUCAACUCCCUCCGUGCCGCAGCUAACGCAUUAAGUGCCCCGCCUGGGGAGUACGGCCGCAAGGUUAAA
rnacentral:rRNA from 1 species